rnacentral:misc_RNA from 1 species
UUUCAGUUUCGAAAAAUUUUUCGAUGGAAGCGGUUCUGUCAGCGGAAAAGUGAAUUAUAGCAGAGCCUGCCUGAAAAACUCAAGAAAACCACAUCAAAGAAAUAGCAGCUCUCAGCUAAAUAAUAACAAACACAAUACUUUCUGCUCAGUCACCGCAAACUGAAAUAAUCACUUUUCUGCAAAACGGCGUCAUCAAAAAAGUUUUUGCUACUACAACUCUAGAAACGCGGAAAAAUUUGUCAAAAAUACAACUAAAGGAAAAACAACAACGCGAGUGCACGUGUAUGUGAGAGGUGCUCAGUAAGAGUGUUUGCGUGUGUUCGUUUCUGUGUGUGACAGAUAAUAAAAGGAGAAAAAAAGAAGUUGUCGAAAGUCGUUCGUGAAAAUUCAAGAAAUAUAGUGCAAGCGCUGCAGGGAAAUUGUCCGGAAAAAUCGCAAAAUCCAUUGUUUUUAGCCGGCAUCUUAAUGACGUCACGUCGUGCCGCAAAAAACCAACGAUAACAACAGCUUCUGCAGCAACGCGCGUGUUUAGUUUACACACACACCACGCCGCGUCGAGAAAAAAGGUUAAAAAUACAUUUUCAAUUCACCAUCGGCGUAAAAGUAAAACAAUAAACAAAUACAAGAAAAUAAAACAGCAGCCGCUUUUUCACCCAACAACAACAAUUUCAACAGCUUCAACUUUGCCAGCAGCAACAACAACAAGUCAGCUGGACAACCGAAGAUAAUGUAAACUCAGCUUACACACAAAAAAGCAGUAAAAUAUAAAAUACAAAAAUUAACAGCUGCGUUUAUCUAUAGAUAUAUAUACACACACAUCUAUAUAUUUGAAUAAGCGUUCGAUUUGAAUCAAAAUUAUAGCCCAAGCUAUCAGCUACCCCCACAAGCUUUGUACUCCACAAAAACGCUAACGAGCAAAAUCGAUAAAGACCAGAAAGCAAAUGAAAUCAUACCAUCUGCCAUAGAUCUAUGCUAUAAACAUAUAUAGGUGCGCUGAUCUGUGCUCUUGAAUUUAGUGUUUUUUGUGUGUGCGUGUCGCGAGAGGAGCACCCAAAACCAAACAAAAAACGUAUAGUAAAACAAUAAGAAGCAAAAAAAAAAAAAAUUAUCUAGUCGCUAGGCUAUAACUAUACAAACUCCAGCUAUCCCAGAUCCAGAUCCGUAAACAGCAUAUAGUUAUAUAUCUAUAACCCCAAAAUACGAUGGCCAACGUUGUCAAUAUGAACAGCCUGCUCAACGGCAAGGACUCGCGCUGGCUGCAAUUGGAGGUCUGUCGCGAGUUCCAGCGCAACAAAUGCUCGCGCCAGGACACCGAGUGCAAGUUCGCCCAUCCCCCGGCCAACGUGGAGGUCCAGAACGGCAAGGUCACCGCCUGCUACGACAGCAUCAAGGGCCGCUGUAAUCGUGAUAAACCGCCGUGCAAAUACUUUCAUCCACCACAGCAUCUGAAGGAUCAGUUAUUGAUAAAUGGACGCAAUCAUUUGGCCCUCAAGAAUGCACUGAUGCAACAGAUGGGCAUCGCGCCCGGCCAACCGGUCAUAUCGGGCCAAGUGCCAGCCGUGGCAACAAACCCCUAUCUGACCGGCAUUCCGGCCAACUCGUACAGUCCGUACUACACAACGGGACACCUGGUGCCCGCCUUGCUGGGUCCGGAUCCCGUGACCUCCCAACUGGGACCCGUGGUGCCCCAAACAGUGCAGGUGGCACAGCAGAAAAUACCACGUUCCGACAGAUUAGAGAUGGAUGUUAAAACGGUUGGUUCAUUUUACUAUGACAACUUCCAAUUCUCUGGCAUGGUACCAUUCAAACGUCCAGCUGCCGAAAAGUCUGGCAUUCCAGUUUAUCAGCCCGGUGCGACCGCCUAUCAGCAGCUAAUGCAGCCCUACGUGCCAGUCUCAUUUACUGGACACCCUCCCGGUGUGCCAAGAUUUUAAUAGAUCUAUGUGCAGUCGGUUAAAUUGUAGAUUCGUUCAUUUAACUGAAGAUGACAAGGUCGAGGUGAUUGAUCAACGUGUUGCUGUCUGCCGCGACCAUGCCAAUAGCCAGUGCCGCCGCAAGCAGUGUAAAUACU